rnacentral:sRNA from 1 species
CUCCAAUGCUUAUUUCUUUGUUCUGGAGAUAAGUUAUGUCUCGCUGCCUCAUAUUUUUAGCAGGAACAAGAAGCAUCCAUUUCUAAAAAAUUGUGAUCCAGUCUGUCCAUUUUACAAGAAUCUCCAUACUGAUAUCUUGUGCAUUGCUGAUCUGAAGAAACAUGUCGAAGACUUGUGAGGCCUUUGGUACAGAGCUGAACCAUCUGGAACUUUGGCAAUUGUCAUGCUAGCAACUGUAUGCAAAUAUAAGAGAUGGAUUUAUACACAAGGCGGUCCUGAUCGGAUUUUGCAAAAGGAUGAGGUGUUGAAGUUAUGAGAUUGGUUUGGGAGCCGAGAGUUGCAAGUCUUCAGUAAAGCCUGAGAUAUUCGCUUAAUGGUCCAGUUUCUUAAGUUUUGGAGAGUACUACUUGAGAGGAAG